GCUAAGUCCUUCAAUUUCUAUGGCUCGUUGGCUAAAUCAUUUGUGCAGUCAUAGUGGGCUUCCUAGUGAUUGGAUGGCUUGUGUUCCACGAGAUUAACAAUCUUGGUGGAGACUCAUUACCUAAAUGACAACUGCAGUCAAUGGUGGAUUCUGCAGACAAUUGCAGUCAAUCGUAGUGUAUUCUGAAGCAGCUGCACUGGACCACAAUUCCGAAGGUUUUCCUCUCAAUUUGCCGACCAAAACCCCCAAGAAUUCAUGACUAAGACUGCUGUGGACUGAUAGGUGGCACCAUAUGUCCAUCUCUUGAUUGCGAAGUAUAAAUGGGGCAAUUACACUGGGAAUUCCG